ACUCUUGAUCUCCUUGAAGAGCUUGGCGUAAAGGUAAAUAAAACAUGUUGUGACGUAAUGCGGAAGUGAUAUCGGUUGCUUGAAAAAUGGAUUUUUGUCAAAUUACAGUGAACAAGUUAUUGUGAGAUAGUCUGAUUACUUUGGAGCCGCCAGAUUGUGUAUGAAAUCCUGAACAAAUUUAUUUCAACAACUUUUUCAUGAACCACAGAAACUUUACCUUUUUAAAUUGUAGGACCAGACAUUGUGAGAAAGUUUGAUUGCAUUCACUGCCAGAGCUAAAGCUAGAAAAGAAACUAAACAACUUCUUCUCAUGAUCUGCUUAAUUGAUCUUC